rnacentral:sRNA from 1 species
CAAGAGUGUAGUGGUCGCUGGCUUCCGAUAGCAGCGAUGGGGAUUAGUCGGCGAGUGCCCCACUUCAAGAAAACCCCGACAGCC